rnacentral:rRNA from 1 species
GAGUUUGAUCCUGGCUCAGAUUGAACGCUGGCGGCAGGCCUAACACAUGCAAGUCGAGCGGAUGACGGGAGCUUGCUCCUUGAUUCAGCGGCGGACGGGUGAGUAAUGCCUAGGAAUCUGCCUGGUAGUGGGGGACAACGUUUCGAAAGGAACGCUAAUACCGCAUACGUCCUACGGGAGAAAGCAGGGGACCUUGGGCCUUGCGCUAUCAGAUGAGCCUAGGUCGGAUUAGCUAGUUGGUGGGGUAAUGGCUCACCAAGGCGACGAUCCGUAACUGGUCUGAGAGGAUGAUCAGUCACACUGGAACUGAGACACGGUCCAGACUCCUACGGGAGGCAGCAGUGGGGAAUAUUGGACAAUGGCGAAAGCCUGAUCCAGCCAUGCCGCGUGUGUGAAGAAGGUCUUCGGAUUGUAAAGCACUUUAAGUUGGAGAAGGGCAGUAAGUUAAUACCUUGCUGUUUUGACGUUACGACAGAAUAAGCACCGGCUAACUCUGUGCCAGCCA